rnacentral:rRNA from 1 species
UUAGAGAAGGCUGUUAGGUAAAUCCGGCAGCGUAAUUCAAGGGUGUGCGACGAGUGGCCUUGUGCCGCGAAGCAAUCGGAAGUGGUUCCAAGAAAAGCCUCUAAGCUUCAGUCUAACGAGACCGUACCGCAAACCGACACAGGUGGGCGAGAUGAGUAUUCUAAGGCGCUUGAGAGAACUCGGGAGAAGGAACUCGGCAAAUUGGUACCGUAACUUCGGGAUAAGGUACGCCCUUGUAGUUUGACUGGCCUGCGCCAGAAGGACGAAGGGGUUGCAAUAAAUUGGUGGCUGCGACUGUUUAAUAGAAACACAGCACUCUGCAAACACGAAAGUGGACGUAUAGGGUGUGACCCCUGCCCGGUGCUGGAAGAUUAAAUGAUGGGUGCAAGCUCUUGAUUGAAGUCCCAGUAAACGGCGGCCGUAACGAUAACGGUCCUAAGGUAGCGAAAUUCCUUGUCGGGUAAGUUCCGACCUGCACGAAUGGAGUAACGAUGGCCACACUGUCUCCUCCCGAGACUCAGCGAAGUUGAAAUGUUUGUGAUGAUGCAAUCUACCCGCGGCUAGACGGAAAGACCCCAUGAACCUUUACUGUAGCUUUGCAUUGGACUUUGAACCAAUCUGUGUAGGAUAGGUGGGAGGCUUUGAAACGGGGACGCCAGCUCUCGUGGAGCCAACCUUGAAAUACCACCCUGGUUUGUUUGAGGUUCUAACCUUGGUCCGUUAUCCGGAUCGGGGACAGUGCAUGGUAGGCAGUUUGACUGGGGCGGUCUCCUCCCAAAGUGUAACGGAGGAGUUCGAAGGUACGCUAAUUACGGUCGGACAUCGUGAUGAUAGUGCAAUGGCAUAAGCGUGCUUAACUGCGAGACUGACAAGUCGAGCAGGUACGAAAGUAGGACAUAGUGAUCCGGUGGUUCUGUAUGGAAGGGCCAUCGCUCAACGGAUAAAAGGUACUCUGGGGAUAACAGGCUGAUUCCUCCCAAGAGUUCAUAUCGACGGGGGAGUUUGGCACCUCGAUGUCGGCUCAUCACAUCCUGGGGCUGUAGCCGGUCCCAGGGGUAUGGCUGUUCGCCAUUUAAAGUGGUACGUGAGCUGGGUUUAAAACGUCGUGAGACAGUUUGGUCCCUAUCUGCCGUGGGCGUUGGAAAUUUGAAGGGGGCUGCUCCUAGUACGAGAGGACCGGAGUGGACGAACCUCUGGUGUACCGGUUGUCACGCCAGUGGCAUUGCCGGGUAGCUAAGUUCGGAAGAGAUACCGCUGAAAGCAUCUAAGCGGGAAACUUGCCUUGAGAUGAGAUUUCCCGGAGCUUUAAGCUCCUUAAAGGGUCGUUCGAGACCAGGACGUUGAUAGGCUGGGUGUGGAAAC